UGAGGAAUAUUGGUCAAUGGGGGCAACCCUGAACCAGCCAAGUCGCGUGAAGGAUGAAGGUCUUAUGGAUUGUAAACUUCUUUUACACGGGAAUAAAGUGGGGGACGUGUCCCCCUUUGCAUGUACCGUGUGAAUAAGGAUCGGCUAACUCCGUGCCAGCAGCCGCGGUAAUACGGAGGAUCCGAGCGUUAUCCGGAUUUAUUGGGUUUAAAGGGUGCGCAGGCGGGAUGUUAAGUCGGCGGUGAAAUUUUGCAGCUCAACUGUAAAAGUGCCUUCGAUACUGGCCACCUUGAGUGUGGAUGAAGUAGGCGGAAUUUGUGGUGUAGCGGUGAAAUGCUUAGAUAUCACGAGGAACUCCGAUUGCGCAGGCAGCUUACUAAGCCACAACUGACGCUCAUGCACGAAGGCGUGGGGAUCAAACA
rnacentral:rRNA from 1 species